ACGGGUGAGUAACGCGUGGGAAUCUACCCAUCUCUACGGGAUAGCUCCGGGAAACUGGAAUUAAUACCGUAUACGUCCUGAGGGAGAAAGAUUUAUCGGGGAUGGAUGAGCCCGCGUUGGAUUAGCUAGUUGGUGGGGUAAAGGCCUACCAAGGCGACGAUCCAUAGCUGGUCUGAGAGGAUGACCAGCCACAUUGGGACUGAGACACGGCCCAAACUCCUACGGGAGGCAGCAGUGGGGAAUAUUGGACAAUGGGCGCAAGCCUGAUCCAGCCAUGCCGCGUGAGUGAUGAAGGUCUUAGGAUUGUAAAGCUCUUUCAGUGGGGACGAUAAUGACGGUACCCACAGAAGAAGCCCCGGCUAACUUCGUGCCAGCAGCCGCGGUAAUACGAAGGGGGCUAGCGUUGUUCGGAAUUACUGGGCGUAAAGCGCACGUAGGCGGAUAUUUAAGUCGGGGGUGAAAUCCCGGGGCUCAACCCCGGAACUGCCUUCGAUACUGGGUAUCUUGAGUUCGGAAGAGGUGAGUGGAAUUGCGAGUGUAGAGGUGAAAUUCGUAGA
rnacentral:rRNA from 1 species